GAGAGAAGCCAAGGAGCAACAGCUGCAGAACCAGACCUUUUAGUUGUGUUGGGGACCUGUUAGUGUGAGUGCUCAACUACAUCCAAGUGAACUGGCCAGGUGGUCCUACCCUGCCUUGGGACCACUCCAACAAACGGAUGGCGAGCUAGAACUUGAGCCAGGAGCCUGACGGUUCUCUUUUUCCUUGUCUUCAAAACAAGUCAGGGUCUGGUAGGAGGCUUAGCAGCCUGUUUUUCUCUCCCCACUACUCGGGUCAAGCAUUUCAAAUACCCAUUCAACUUGUGACCAAUAAAGCAGCGCUAAUGGACACUCACCUUGUAUUGCCAUAAACUGAAGCCAUGCAUUUGUACUCUUGACUGUUUGUUACUUACAAACGUUGGGGUGGGGAAAAUGAACUGGAUUUUUGUCUACCUGUUGAUCAACUGUAAAUUGUGUACACACUGGUAUUUUGUAAACAUUUGUUUAUUUUUUGUGUCACUUUUUGUAAAAUACACAUUUCACUCAAACCAACUGUCUGUCUUUAUUCAUUGCCGCUGCCCUCUAGUAGCCGAACUAGAUCUUACUGAUUUGCCCACUAA